rnacentral:rRNA from 1 species
CCUACGGGAGGCAGCAGUAAGGAAUCUUCCGCAAUGGGCGAAAGCCUGACGGAGCAACGCCGCGUGGGCGAUGAAGGCCUUCGGGUCGUAAAGCCCUUUUCUGUGGGACGAUAAUGACGGUACCACAGGAAUAAGCCGCGGCUAACUACGUGCCAGCAGCCGCGGUAAUACGUAGGGACCGAGCGUUGUCCGGAAUCAUUGGGUGUAAAGGGUCCGCAGGCGGAUGUGUAAGUCGGAGGUGAAAUCUUCCCGCUCAACGGGAAAACGGCUUUCGAUACUGCACGUCUUGAGUACGGGAGAGGGUGGUGGAAUUCCUGGUGUAGGGGUAAAAUGCGUAGAUAUCAGGAAGAACA